rnacentral:lncRNA from 1 species
GGUUUUGUUAUACAUUAGUGGAAUGCACAAUUAGCAUAAUUAAAAAAAUUAUAAAAAGAACCACCAACCUCCCUUAGCUUCUCCCCCGACCAGCUACUCUUCUCACCCACCUCCCUUUUCAAAUUAAUUUUCAACCGCUACUCUCUCUAAUGUAGAAUUCAAAUUGUAUGAAUUCUUCUUUUCCCAAGUUUACCAAAUCCCAAUCUUCAAAAAUUUUAAUUUUGUAUUGUUGAGUUUAUGAUGGGAGAGGAUUAAACAAUUCAGAUAUGAGUUUCCUUUCUUUUCUAACCGAGGAUAAAGAGCGGAAGAGGAAGAAGAAGAAGAAAGAAAGAUGCAGCAAGGUGCAUUCAAUUUGAAUCCCGGCAAUGCUGAUAACAAGGUGUAUCCGAUCUAGGUUUCCUUCUUUUUGAAUCUCGACGAAUCCUGACCAUCCAACGAGCGAAUCCCAACGAUGCCGACAACAAGGUGCAUCCGAUUUGGGAUUCCUUCCUUUUGAAUCCUGACGAUCCCAACAAACGACUCCCGACGAUGCCGCCAAAAAGCUCCAUCUGAUCUGGUUUCCUUCCUUUUGAAUCCCGACUGAUCCCAAUGAGAGAAUCCCAACGAUGCCAACAACAAGGUGUAUCCGAUAUGGGUUUUCUUCCUUUUGAAUCUCGACAAUCCCGACGAGCAAAUCCCGAAGAUGCCGACAACAAGGUGCAUCCGAUAUGGGUUUCUUCCUUUUAAAUCCCGAUGAAUAUCGACGAUCCCGAUGAGCAAAUCCCGACGAUGUCGCCAACAAAGUGCAUCUGAUCUUGCUUUCCUUAUGAGUUGGUGGGGGAGGGGCAGUUGGUGUUUUUAAGUUGUGUUACCUAAAAGCUUUUGUGAUCGUGUAGGGGAAAUAUAAACUAAUCUAAGUGACUUGUUUUGCCUUAUGUAUUAUUAAUAGUAUUGACAAGAGAGGAAGAAGGAGGAGAAAGAAGGCGGAGGAGAUGAGUGUUUCUUUUUUGACAGCUCAGUUAUUAUUUAAUGAAAGGAGGUAAAAAUAUUUUACCUAAUUAAGAUGACGUGGCCGUACUUUUACGUGACGUCCGACGUGGCAUUUUGAUGA